CAGUCGCCGCGGUAAAACGUAGGUGGCAAGCGUUAUCCGGAAUUAUUGGGCGUAAAGCGCGCGUAGGCGGUUUUUAAGUCUGAUGUGAAAGCCCACGGCUCAACCGUGGAGGGUCAUUGGAAACUGGAAAACUUGAGUGCAGAAGAGGAAAGUGGAAUUCCAUGUGUAGCGGUGAAAUGCGCAGAGAUAUGGAGGAACACCAGUGGCGAAGGCGACUUUCUGGUCUGUAACUGACGCUGAUGUGCGAAAGCGUGGGGAUCAAACAGGAUUAGAUACCCGAGUAGUCCCUGUCUCUUAUACA
rnacentral:rRNA from 1 species